ensembl:misc_RNA 7SK 7SK RNA
GGAUGGUGAUCUGGCAGCAACAUCUGUCACCCCAUUGAUUGCCAGGGUUUAUUCGGCUUAUCUAGAAGGCUAGCCAGUGUCCUCGCCCUCCCUUGAGGCUCCAGGGGCUUCCUUCCAGAAGCUGUACUCCCAGUGACCUUCCCCAGUAGAGGAAGACCCAUCCUUGGUCAAGGGCAUAGGAGUAGCUAUACUAUCCUGCUAGAAACUCCAAACAAGCUGUCAAGGUCCAUCUGUAGGACAACGUAGGGUAGGUAGUCAAGCUUCCAAGACUUCAGACACAUAUGUGGCACGUGGCCCUCUGCCUCUCUUU